rnacentral:rRNA from 1 species
AUUGAACGCUGGCGGCAGGCCUAACACAUGCCAGUCGAACGGUAACAGGAAGAAGCUUGCUUCUUUGCUGACGAGUGGCGGACGGGUGAGUAAUGUCUGGGAAACUGCCUGAUGGAGGGGGAUAACUACUGGAAACGGUAGUUAAUACCGCAUAACGUCGCAAGACCAAAGAGGGGGACCUUCGGGCCUCUUGCCAUCGGAUGUGCCCAGAUGGGAUUAGCUAGUAGGUGGGGUAACGGCUCACCUAGGCGACGAUCCCUAGCUGGUCUGAGAGGAUGACCAGCCAAACUGGAACUGGGACACGGUCCAAACUCCUACGGGAGGCAGCAGUGGGGAAUAAUGGACAAGUGGGGCAAGCCUGAUGCAGCCAUGCCGCGUGUAUGAAGAAGGCCUUCGGGUUGUAAAGUACUUUCAGCGGGGAGGAAGGGAGUAAAGUUAAUACCUUUGCUCAUUGACGUUACCCGCAGAAGAAGCACCGGCUAACUCCGUG